rnacentral:rRNA from 2 species
AACAUUGCCUUAUGAGCUAUUUAUAUAAGGUAAAUUCUGCCCAGUGAUAUUAUUUAACGGCCGCGGUAUCCUGACCGUGCAAAGGUAGCAUAAUCAUUUGCCCUUUAAUUGGGGGCUUGUAUGAACGAAUAAACAAAAAAUUACUUUCUUAUUAAUAUCCAUAAAAACUUACCUUUAAGUGAAGAGGCUUAAAUAUUUUAAAAAGACAAGAAGACCCUAUCAAGCUUUAUUUAUACUCCUUUCCUUAAGGAACUUAUAAAUUUUAUUGGGGCAAUAAAAAAUUACAAAAAACAUUUUAACCCUUCUAAGAUUCAUUGAUCACAUUAUUUAUCCUUAAUUUGAUAUUAAGAAAGCUACUGUAGGGAUAACAGGCUAAUAUUUCUCGCGAGCCCGUAUCUACAGAAAUGUUUGGCACCUCGAUGUUGGCUUAAGAAACCUAAUCUGCGCAAAAGCAUUUUAAGGGGGUUUGUUCAACCCUUAAUUUCUUA